rnacentral:rRNA from 1 species
GAUGAACGCUGGCGGCGUGCCUAAUACAUGCAAGUCGAGCGAACAGACGAGGAGCUUGCUCCUCUGACGUUAGCGGCGGACGGGUGAGUAACACGUGGAUAACCUACCUAUAAGACUGGGAUAACUUCGGGAAACCGGAGCUAAUACCGGAUAAUAUAUUGAGCCGCAUGGUUCAAUAGUGAAAGACGGUUUUGCUGUUACUUAUAGAUGGAUCCGCGCCGCAUUAGCUAGUUGGUAAGGUAACGGCUUACCAAGGCAACGAUGCGUAGCCGACCUGAGAGGGUGAUCGGCCACACUGGAACUGAGACACGGUCCAGACUCCUACGGGAGGCAGCAGUAGGGAAUCUUCCGCAAUGGGCGAAAGCCUGACGGAGCAACGCCGCGUGAGUGAUGAAGGUCUUCGGAUCGUAAAACUCUGUUAUUAGGGAAGAACAAAUGUGUAAGUAACUAUGCACGUCUUGACGGUACCUAAUCAGAAAGCCACGGCUAACUACGUG